UGACCUCGGAUCAGGUAGGGAUACCCGCUGAACUUAAGCAUAUCAAUAAGCGGAGGAAAAGAAACCAACAGGGAUUACCUCAGUAACGGCGAGUGAAGCGGUAACAGCUCAAAUUUGAAAUCUGGCCUCACGGUCCGAGUUGUAAUUUGUAGAGGAUGCUUCGAGCAUGGUCUGGCCUAAGUUCCUUGGAACAGGACGUCAUAGAGGGUGAGAAUCCCGUAUGCGGCCAGGUGCCUACGCUCAUGUGAAGCUCCUUCGACGAGUCGAGUUGUUUGGGAAUGCAGCUCAAAAUGGGUGGUAAAUUUCAUCUAAAGCUAAAUAUUGGCCAGAGACCGAUAGCGCACAAGUAGAGUGAUCGAAAGAUGAAAAGCACUUUGGAAAGAGAGUUAAACAGUACGUGAAAUUGUUGAAAGGGAAGCGCUUGCAACCAGACUUGCGCGCGGCCGAUCAUCCGGUGUUCUCACCGGUGCACUCGGCCGUGCUCAGGCCAGCAUCGGUUUUGGCGGCUGGAUAAAGGCCCUAGGAAUGUAGCUCCUCUCGGGGAGUGUUAUAGCCUAGGGUGCAAUGCAGCCUGCUGGGACCGAGGACCGCGCUUCGGCUAGGAUGCUGGCGUAAUGGUUGUAAGCGGCCCGUCUUGAAACACGGACCAAGGAGUCUAACAUCUAUGCGAGUGUUUGGGUGUCAAACCCAUACGCGUAAUGAAAGUGAACGGAGGUGAGAACCCUUAAGGGUGCAUCAUCGACCGGUCCUGAAGUUUACGGAAGGAUCUGAGUAAGAGCAUAGCUGUUGGGACCCGAAAGAUGGUGAACUAUGCCUGAAUAGGGUGAAGCCAGAGGAAACUCUGGUGGAGGCUCGCAGCGGUUCUGACGUGCAAAUCGAUCGUCAAAUUUGGGUAUAGGGGCGAAAGACUAAUCGAACCAUCGACCUGUAGGAACACUACUAGGUGGUUAAGAGGCGGCUAAAAGUGCCGUCUAGUCCCGACGCCGGGGCGACACUGUCAAAUUGCGGGAACAUCCUUAGAGCCUAGACUACCGCAGCCUUCCUGAAAGGGGGGUGCGCACCAGGGUAAUGACCUCGGGUAUGGUAAUAACGUCUAGGAUUGGACAAUCCGCAGCCAAGCCCUACGGACCUCGGUCUAUGGGUGCAGUUCAUCGACUAGAUGGCAGUGGGUGGCAGCAAUGCCGCUUAAGAUAUAGUCAGACCCCCGGGAGACCGGGCGGCAGAACGAAGACCGUGGGGGGCGUCCUCUCUGAGAGCCCCGCGGUCCCGAGUCUGCUGGUGGCGUCGCAGCUUGCUGCGGUGCCUGGAGUAAGUGCUAGUAGCUGGUUCCUGCCGAAGUUUCCCUCAGGAUAGCAGUGUUGAAUUCAGUUUU
rnacentral:ncRNA from 1 species